rnacentral:rRNA from 1 species
GAGUUUGAUCCUGGCUCAGGACGAACGCUGGCGGCGCGCCUAACACAUGCAAGUCGAACGGAGCUGAGAGGAGCUUGCUUUUCUUAGCUUAGUGGCGAACGGGUGAGUAACGCGUGAGUAACCUGCCCUGGAGUGGGGGACAACAGUUGGAAACGACUGCUAAUACCGCAUAAGCCCACGGGUCGACAUCGACCAGAGGGAAAAGGAGCAAUCCGCUUUGAGAUGGCCUCGCGUCCGAUUAGCUAGUUGGUGAGGUAAUGGCCCACCAAGGCGACGAUCGGUAGCCGGACUGAGAGGUUGAACGGCCACAUUGGGACUGAGACACGGCCCAGACUCCUACGGGAGGCAGCAGUGGGGAAUAUUGCACAAUGGGGGAAACCCUGAUGCAGCGACGCCGCGUGAGCGAAGAAGUAUUUCGGUAUGUAAAGCUCUAUCAGCAGGGAAGAUAAUGACGGUACCUGACUAAGAAGCACCGGCUAAAUACGUGCCAGCCGCCGCGGUAAUUC